rnacentral:snRNA from 1 species
AAACCGGACGAUUUAAAUACAAA